AACCUUCGGGGAACGAUAACGGCGUCGAGCGGCGGACGGGUGAGUAAUGCCUAGGAAAUUGCCCUGAUGUGGGGGAUAACCAUUGGAAACGAUGGCUAAUACCGCAUAAUGCCUACGGGCCAAAGAGGGGGACCUUCGGGCCUCUCGCGUCAGGAUAUGCCUAGGUGGGAUUAGCUAGUUGGUGAGGUAAUGGCUCACCAAGGCGACGAUCCCUAGCUGGUCUGAGAGGAUGAUCAGCCACACUGGAACUGAGACACGGUCCAGACUCCUACGGGAGGCAGCAGUGGGGAAUAUUGCACAAUGGGCGCAAGCCUGAUGCAGCCAUGCCGCGUGUGUGAAGAAGGCCUUCGGGUUGUAAAGCACUUUCAGUCGUGAGGAAGGUAGUGUAGUUAAUAGCUGCAUUAUUUGACGUUAGCGACAGAAGAAGCACCGGCUAACUCCGUGCCAGCAGCCGCGG
rnacentral:rRNA from 1 species